rnacentral:rRNA from 1 species
CAAACGACUCUCGGCAACGGAUAUCUCGGCUCACGCAUCGAUGAAGAACGUAGCAAAAUGCGAUACUUGGUGUGAAUUGC